AGUGGUCCAGUGGUAAAACGCUACGGUGCAGAUGUGCAGGCGUGGGUUCAAC
rnacentral:tRNA from 16 species